rnacentral:lncRNA from 1 species
AGGAAUCGGGACAGUAGCAUAGGCAAGGCAACCAAAAGCCUUUAAAUGAGAGUAAGUGGAUGCUUUACCAUGCAAGAUUUCAUAAGGAGACUUACCAUGAAGGAGCCUAGAGGGUAUUCUGUUAAUAAGGUAGGUAGCAGUUAAUAGGCAAUCACCCUAAAAGGAGAUAGGUAAACCAGACUGAAAGAGUAAAGCUCUACAAGUUUCAAGAAGAGUUCUAUGUUUUCUCUCAACAACACCAUUCUGUUGAGGAGCAUGUGGGCAAGUGGUUUGGUGUAUGAUGCCAUGUUGGUUAAAAAAGGAUGUACUAAAUGCUAGAUCCCAAUUCUAAAGCAUUGUCACUCCUAAUAGUUUGAACAUUUGCAUUAUACUAUGUCUUGACCAUACAGAGAAAAGAUUGACACAUGUUGUCACUCCUAAUAGUUUGAACAGUGCAUUAUACUGUGUCUUGACCAUACAGAGAAAAGACUGAAGCAUGGAGAAAGCAUUGCUUUUAGACCCUAACAGAUGUGUCCAGGUUUCCCUAGAAAAAUCAUCAACUAUUGUGAGAAAAUAUCUUGAACCAGUAGAGGUGGGGGUAUGAUAAGGCCCCCAAGUAUCUACAUGAAUCAAUUGAAAAGGUCUAGAUGUACUAGCAGUGCUUUCAGGAAAUGGAAGCCUAGUUUGCCUGGCCAUAGGACAGGUAGAACAUUGAAAAGGCUGUUUAGAAGCAAAUGGAAAGGAUAAAGCAGAAAUGUGUUUCAUAUUUGCAAAAGGUAUAUGACCCAACCUUAAAUGCCAAAUGUAAUUCAUGUUAGUGGCAACAAUAUUAUUACACAUGGAACUGUUUACAUUCAAAGGCAAACUAACAGCUUGAUUACUAGAAUAGU